rnacentral:misc_RNA from 1 species
GAUGAAGAACGCAGCGAAAUGCGAUACGUAAUGUGAAUUGCAGAAUUCAGUGAAUCAUCGAGUCUUUGAACGCACAUUGCGCCCCCUGGUAUUCCGGGGGGCAUGCCUGUCCGAGCGUCAUUGCUGCCCUCAAGCACGGCUUGUGUGUUGGGCCUCCGUCCUCCUCCCGGGGGACGGGCCCGAAAGGCAGCGGCGUUACCGCGUCCGGUCCUCGAGCGUAUGGGGCUUCGUCACCCGCUCUUGUAGGCCCGGCCGGCGCUUGCCGACACAUCAAUCUUUUUUCCAGGUUGACCUCGGAUCAGGUAGGGAUACCCGCUGAACUUAAGCAUAUCAAUAAGCGGAGGA